GGUAAGUACGCUAAACAAAUCCCACAAGUUAUUAAAUUUCGCGACCCAAUUUAGAUGUUGUUGGACGCGCGGCUAGGGUUCGGGCUUGAGCCUCUAAUUUUAGAUUAGAUUUCACAAGUUCAACGUCGGAUGUGUUGAAACUGCAGCCCGAAUGGAAAAACGCUAGGCCAAUGCUGUUGAGGCUAAUGCUGCGGCGGCUGGUGGACGACGACCAGGUUAGGUCCGAUUGUAAGUUUUCACUUCCCAAAUGUUUAAAAUUUCCGGGGCCCUUUAGUUAGGGUCCCCGGCGGCUUUAAUAUAAAAAAAACACUGUAAUUUACAAGUUCCGGACUAAUAAAUAACCACUCACUUUGAGUUAUUCAAACACUAA